CUUCAGCGACCCCAGCCACAACGGCUGGUCUUCGCGCCGGCCUUGUCCGUAGGUCGCCAAGAUCGCCUGUGCCUC
rnacentral:antisense_RNA from 1 species